UUCAUCAGUUAAGCAGGUAAAAGGUCUGGAGUUGAUUCUAAGUGCAUGUGGCAUUUGUAUUUGGAAGCUGUUGCUGUGAAUCCACAUGAUGUGGUCAAAGGAGCUCUCCAUGCAAGUGAAACAGCCCAUCGUUAGGCUUCAAAAACAAAACAGGAACAUUAGGAGUGGCCAAAUCAACAGUUGGAUAGAUGGUGCUUCACAGUACAGAUGGACAAUACUGCAAAAGGUAAAGAAGUGGAAUAUUCUGCAAUAGCAGAGUCAAUCUCCUGAUCUCAAUCCAGUCAACCCUAGUAAAAAAAAAGGGAAGCAUGCUUUUCACUUGGCAGACCCACCAACAAACAACAACUGAAGACAGCUGCAGUAAAGGCCUGGAUAGCAUCGCAAAAGAGGAAACCCAGUCUUUGGUGAUAUCUAUGGGUUCCAGACUGUCAUUGCCUGCAAAUGAUUCUCAAAAAAAAUAUUAAAAAUGAACAUUUUAUUUAUCAUUAUAUUCAUUUGUCCAAUUACAUUUGAGCCCUUGAAAAUAAGGGGAUUUCCUAAACGUUUCACAUAUUUUUGAAAGUCUGUGCUUCAAUUUUAUCUUGAUCAUUUAAUUUUAAUUUUGUUCUGGUGGCAUACAGAGCUAAAGUUAUGAACACGUUUUCUUUUAGGGGCUCUUCUUCAAUAAUAAUCAUAAAUCCUGACCAAAACUAAGAAUACAUUUUCACCCUGCCCUUCAUUAUUCAUGAAAAUAUUUGAAAGCAAACUCUGCCCCCUACCGACACAUUAGGUUUAGUGCAAUUGUUCAAACAGGUAUGUAGAAUCACGUUUCACAAGCAUUUAUGUAAAGAAAGUUUUCAUUAAAU